rnacentral:misc_RNA from 1 species
GCGGAGGGAUCAUUACAGAGUUGAAAAACUCCCAAAACCACUGUGGACUAUACCAGUUUUGUUGCUUCGGUGGGUGGCCCCAGGGCGGGGCCGCCGCCUCCUUCGGGAGGCACCUGCCGCAAGCCCUUAAAACUCUUUUGAAUUUUGGUUACAUCUCUGAGUUAGCAUACAAAACGCGAAAAAAACUUUCAACAACGGAUCUCUUGGCUCUAGCAUCGAUGAAGAACGCAGCGAAAUGCGAUAAGUAAUGUGAAUUGCAGAAUUCAGUGAAUCAUCGAAUCUUUGAACGCACAUUGCGCCCGCCAGCAAUCUGGCGGGCAUGCCUGUUCGAGCGUCAUUUCAACCCUCAAGCUCUGCUUGGUGUUGGGGCGCCACGGGGCUUAGGCACCGUGGGCUCUUAAAGUCAGUGGCGGACUCUCUGUGUGUCCGGGCGUAGUAGAGAUAUGUCGCCUGUGGACGCGCUGGGAGAUCCAGCCGUAAAACCCUUACUGCUGUAAAUACAGAAG